UUAGCAUCUCCUCGCCGCCCACUGCGAACAAACAGUCCUCUGUGUGCACCCUGGGCAGGCCUCACUGCAGCCCUGCAGGAAGCAGGAUGCUGACCCGGAGUCGGCGCCCCCUCGCUCCCUAGGGUGGACCCAGCCACGUAUGAGGAAACCGAGGCGCAGAGAGGCAAAGGGAUGUGUCGAAAGCCACACAGCUGGAGCAAGUGGUGGAACUGGCCUGGGAACAUGGCCUUCUCAGAGGAGUGCGGUGGCUUCUGGAGGGGCCGGCCUAUCUCAGUCUGCCAGCAGUGACCAGACAAUCUGCUCUCAUCAUCUGGGAGCUGGGUGAAGACCCCUCCCCACCCUCACCUCCUGCAAAUAUUGUGUGUUGGGGGUGGGGGGGACACAAAGAAGUAGAAGUGACUGCUGAGUGAGGGAGCUGGAGAGAGUACUGGGGAGGGGUCCCCCGCUGCCUUGGCCUUGGGCCCCGCAGAUGCAUGGAAGGGACCAGCAGUUCCUGGAACACGAGCCCAUCGCCGGGGUGCCCAGUGCCAGCUGUUGCCAUCUGCUUGUGGCAAAACGAGAAAAAUAGGACAAUACAGUGAAGUUUUCCUAAAGCUAGACCUACUCGAUCUGAAGUACGGCCCUUUCCCUGGAGCUGUGUAUUUUCAGGGUCUGUGCAUGUGUGUGUUUAAAAAGGACCUUUUCUUUGACAUUUUCUUUAAUGUCCUUAACCGAGCAAAAUAAAAGACUAGUGACCAUGUCAGAUCCUAAAUCGGCUUUUUGGAAAUGUUAGUGACUAAGGAAUCCGAAUGCCUGGGAAUCACGGAGCUGGCCCUGAUUCGGUGAGCCCUGGCACGGAGGACUUGUUUUUGAAUUCAGGGAUGAUCUCUGAACAGCUGGAAAAACCCCGGGGGAGGAGAGGUUGGGGUUCCUGCCUGGACUCAGCCCCUCAGCCCUGGAUCCCCAGGAAACCUGAGCAGAGGGAACAUUAGAGUCACUGCACAGGGAAUUCUGAGAAAGGCCUCGGGCUGAUUCUCCGUGCUGCACCCCCUCAGCCUCUUCUCUGACCCCCAGCCAGAGGGAAUGUACCCUCCAACCUCAGCCCUGCCUCCCCCAGCCCCCCAAGGCUGGAUCCAAAAUAGCCCAGGCCCCGGAGGAGACGUCAUGGGUCAGACUGGCUGCCUGCCCUCAGAGAGGGCAUGUCGGUAAUGCCCAAGGCCAAAUAUAGAGGGACACCAGACACCGCUGGGCCACCCAGGGCCUGGGGAGCCCGGCUGGCAUCUCAGGGCCUCCCCCACCCUCAUCCCUUCCCAGCCCUGCACCCCCAACCCGGGCUCCGGAGGCCAGCGCCUCCUGGCCAGGCCCACCCAGCCAGGACAUGUCCCAGCAAGCCCAGAGCCGAGCUGGAGGCUGGCCCGACGGGGUGCUGGGCCUGGGCUGGGCCUGGGCGUGGGGACACCCCUCCAUCUGGGGGUCUCAAAGCACUUUUAUAAGCGUCACUUCCCACAGGCUGCUGCCGAGAUCAGGAGGCCAAGAGGACCUGGUGUCUCCGGGGGGCCGGCUCCUGCCUCUGUUCCUCCCAGCUCGGGAAGGAGACCAGGCCGUAAACCUGCGGCGUGGGAGGCUUGGGAGGCGGGGGGCGGGCAGGCGGCCAGGUCUAACCCGAGUGAACUCCCGGUGGAAUCGAACUGCAAAUAAUGAGUCCUGAUUGCCGAGGUGGCCUCCACCCGCCACUCCCGGGAAUUAAAAGUCAAAGGGCAGAGCUGCUGACGCAAAUGUCAAGGGAGACACGCGGUGUGGAACAGCUGGGAUCCUGCUCCCCGGCCUGCCGCCCAAGGUCGCCGCCCCCAGCGCCCUGGAUCCGGCGUCCCCCAGGCUGGGCCCCGAGAGGCCCCAGUUCCCCAGGCGCAGCAGGGAAGGGGGCUCGGCUUCCUCUCCCUCCUCCUGGUUCUAAGGUCAACAGAACUCGAUUGGAGGAGGUUCAUCAGAAAUCCCCGUGCAACGGCGUUGCCGGACGCCUGCGGACGCGGAGAGGCAGCAGCUCGAGUCCUCUGGGCCUUCCCCGCCUCCCCCGCCAACAAGGGGGAGGAAACUUCUGCCGACGGGGGCGCGUGGCUCGCUAACACCUGCUGUGUCCCCUAGGUCGUCCCAGGGCCGGCACACCGUGGGCAGCUGCACCGUGGUCUGUGCACCAGUGGUGACCCCCAGCGGUCAGUGUGGGACUUGACCUUGGACCCAGCACUGAAGCCUCCGCCAGGCCAGGGGCUGGGAAACCCCGGGGGCGCCAGGUUUGGAGAUUUGAUCUUGGAAGGGAGGUGUUGGCGUUCGGAGGUGUUGGCGUUCGGAGGUGUUUUUCUCUGUGCUGAAUUUUCCUAAUCGCCCUGUGGCUGGAUCUCAGCCUGUGUCCCACUGUGAGCCAGUCAGCCUCAACAUGUCUAAGAGGCGCAUCAUCACUGAGCCCCUACCGGCUCUUACUCCUGACUUCCCUAUUUCUAUUAAUAGCACCACUACCCUCCCAGUCCCUCAGGCUCCAAACCUCCGUGUCAUUGUCCACAUCUCCCCACACUGGGCUGGCUGACCGGUCCUGCCCCUCCUCACCGUGCAGGUCAUUCUUCCACCCCUCCCGCGAUACUCAUGGCCACUGCCCCAGUCAAUGGACCUCUCUCUCACCUGAGCUACUGUCAUCCUCGACAAUGCCACUGGGUCAGACCUGGCUAUGUGACCGGUCCCUUCCACUUACUGGCUGUGUGACCUUGGGCAAGCUACUUAACUUCUCUGAGCUCAACUUCCUCAGCUGUAAAAUGAGGAUAAUAAUUACAGUCCCUACCUCAUAGAGCACUGCAUGAAUUGUGACGUAUGUGAAGACCCUGACACAUAGGAAAUGCUCAGUGACUGUGAAUUAUUAGAGAUCAUCCAUCCAAUCCAACUCUUCCAUUUUACAAACAAGGAAACUGAGGCUCAGAGAGCUGGAAGGAGAGCUAACGUCUGGCAUGGUGUCUUUACAACUUGCUACAGGGGUCCAGCCGGGUGGCACAGUGGUUAAGUUCACACGUUCUGCUUCGGUGGCCUGGGGUUUGCCGGUUCGGAUCCUGGGUGUGGGCCUACACACCAUACUGUGGUAGGCAUCCCACAUAUAAAGUAGAGGAAGAUGGGCAUGGAUGUUAGCUCAGGGCCAGUCUUCCUCAGCAAAAUGAGGCGGAUUGGUGGCAGAUGUUAGCCAGGGCUAAUCUUCCUCAAAAAUAGAAUAAAAUAAAAAUAAAACUUGCUACAGAGCAGGGGGAGUGGAAGUUCCCGGAGUCUUGAAGCUCCUCCACCACUGCCCACAUCAUCGCGAUCUGGAACCCAGAUCCAAAGGCCCCCUGCUGAGUUCACGGGGCACACCCUCCUGCCUUCAGGGGCAGGCAUGCUUGGGUGAGUGCUGAGGUCGCAAAUACCUUCUGGGAUGAGACAACUACAGGUGACGUCCAGCGGCUGUGAGUCAGGGAGACCCAUCUGCAAGGUGACGAGUGAGGCUGGGCACUCGGGCCGCAGGGGUGCUGGGCAUGCAGGGGUCGUGCCAGACGUCAGACAUCCAAAUAGGGUGGGCACCUCCUCCCGCAACAACCCCGCCCUCACACUCCUCCCCCAGCUCCCACUCACCCCCUCCAGUGCCCAGGCCUUCGCGUGGGGGUCCGUGGGGGCAGGGCAGGCUGCCUCCCGUCCAGAUAGUCCAGGCGGACGUUCUGAACAGUCCCUCGUGAAUGAGCACCUGGGGGCCAUACGCUCUUUGAAACUGAAGGUGGGAGCCCUGUUCUGGGGACAGGUUCUCAAAGCGGACUUCUCUCCACAAAGAGAAGAUGAUCAAGAGCAGCAAGAGCAGAUGAUCCAGGUUCAAACGUGGGCCUGUCCUAGAGUCCUAGGACACCUCCUGUCUAAGCCAGAGGUUCUCAAACAGGUUUUGCUCCUGGGGACACCUGGCAAUGCCUGGAGACAUGUUUGGUUGUUAUACUGGGAGGGAGGGUGUGCAUGACCUACUGGCAUCUAGUGGGGAGAGGCCAAGGGUGUUGCUAAAUAUCCUACAAUGCACACAGCACAGACACACAACGAAGAACAUUCCAGCCCCCGUGUCAGUAGUACAGCGGCCUCGAGGAGGAAGGGAGGCCGUGCCUGUGAAGAACCCGGGACUGGGCCUGGCUCAUGCUCCGUGUUGGCAAGGGACCUUUCUUUUCUAAGGCCUUCUCUCAGCCUGGACACCCAAGCCGGUGGGCAGAGGUGGAGUGGGCAUAUACUCACAUGAGAAUUCUGAGAAAUGAUCUUGGUGUUUCUGCCACACCCAGCCUGGGGCAGAGUUUCUAGAAGAGUCUGGUGCUCACUCAUGAACCCUUUCAACAAGGACAAAGCAGGCCCUGGAAGGAGCGGCCCGCCCUCGGGCUGCUCACCCUGCCACCUCCAGCAGGCCUCCCCGUGACCCAUCCCCCACCCCUCUCACUUGCAUUUGUGAGGGAGAGAGGGGAGAGGAUGGGGCAGAAGCCCUCCUCUGAGCUCUCCUCAGACCCGCCGAGGCCGGGCAGGCAGGAGGACGUGCUAGCGGCAGCCCUGCACAGAGGCAGGGGACGGCUCCAGGGCACCUUCGAAGGUGUGUGAAGCUGAGUCAAGGAGCUGGCAAGCCCUCCUGCCACUCACCUCAGCGGGCAGCUGGUUCUCCUUCAGCCUCAGCAGCCGUGGGGUCAAGUGUCUGCUCUACAGAAGCUGGUCCCAGAUAAGCCACCGCCUUCUUCCCUGGGAUGGGGUGGUGUAGCCCCAUCAGAACCCCCACACCCUGGCCCCUGAGCUCCGCUUUGCUGGUUUACCCAACUCAAGUAAAAUGGAUUAUCGGAUUACGGUCGGAGUGGGUGGAAGGGUCAGGUCGAUCAACAGAGAUGGGACUCUUAGACCCCUUUCUGACACUGCUCAUUUGUGGGGUCUGGGGGAUUGGGGCAUUGCAAUCACACCCUCUCCCCUCGGGUCUCAAUUUCAGGCACGUGUUUAAUGGGGCACACCACCUUCCAAACCUUCGGUGUGAGGCUGUGUGGGGGUGGGGCUUCUGUCUGCGUCUGGAAGCCCAGCUGACUUCACGACAAGCCCAGACACGCAGCUGUUUCUGAAACAGAAGCCGCAGCGGUGGGGGAAGCGCCAAGCGCCGAGGCUGGGGGCAGAGAGGAGACCCCCGGACACCAGACUGAUGUGUACAGUUAACAGGGCCUAACCAAAGGGUCUGCACUGCGUCUCCAGGUGGGAGCUGCCUCCUGCCAUGGGAGUCUUCUCUGGGGAAACAUUUUUGUCUUGAUUGGAAAUUUCUUCCUGAUGUGUGACAUGUGACCUCCACCUCUUCUUCUAGAGCUUGGCUCUGCUGCCAGGCUGAGGCUGCCCACCUCCCCCGAAGUCCCCUCCCCUCCAAUACUCUGUUCCUUCCCAGGGAUGCUCAGAGGCUGCAGGGCAUCUUGCCUUAUGCUGGUCCUCCCCUGCAGGGACGCCAAAGCUGGGGGAGGGGCACCUGGGCCUGUCUGGCUUCCUGCCCAAGGUAUGAUCCUGGUGUGAAAGUUCUGGGCCCAGGCCCCUAAGGAGGGUUCCUCCCAAGCACCCUCAUCCCUCUGGUCCCUCCAGCUUUCUCCUCAUCUCCCGAUGCCACAAAUCUUCUGAUGCCCUCCCUUCCCCACCACGCUUCUCCCCUAGGCCCUGCCCUUCCUCAGCCAGCUUUACCCUGGGCAAUCCCAGAUGGGGGCAUCUGGCCCGUGGCUUUGCACAGGAGGCGGGAG
rnacentral:lncRNA from 1 species